UAAAAUGCAUUCUACUUUUUACAGAGAACAAUGUUUGUGCUUGUUGAAGAGAGGACAAAGCAAGAUACAUCUACUGGCAUGCCAAGAACGUCUUAUUUUCUUCUUAAGGGAAGGGAAGAAAAAUGCCCAGAUGAGCUGAUGCUGGUGAAAUCGUCUUACCUGCAGCAGACACAGUUGCUGGAAUGUUUACUAAGACCCUCCAUUCUUUCAUGCCUGACAGGCUUAAUGAGCCCAAU
rnacentral:lncRNA from 1 species